GCCUUCGUGGUGUAACGGUAGCACACUCGUCGUUUAAUCGAGAGGUUCAGGUUCGAGUCCCGGCGAGGGCA